CCUACGGGUGGCAGCAGUGAGGAAUAUUGGUCAAUGGACGAGAGUCUGAACCAGCCAAGUCGCGUGAAGGAUGAAUGCUCUAUGGGUUGUAAACUUCUUUUAUAAAGGAAUAAAACGAGGAACGUGUCCCUUUUUGCAUGUACUUUAUGAAUAAGGAUCGGCUAACUCCGUGCCCGCAGCCGCGGUAAUACGGAGGAUCCGAGCGUUUUCCGGAUUUAUUGGGGUUAAGGGGAGCGUAGAGGGGUGUUUAAGUCAGUUGUGAAAGUUUGCGGCUCAACCGUAGAAUUGCAAUUGAUACUGGCAGUCUUGAGUACAGUUGAGGUAGGCGGAAUUCGUGGUGUAGCGGUGAAAUGCUUAGAUAUCACGAAGAACCCCGAUUGCGAAGGCAGCUUACUAAACUGUGACUGACAUUGAUGCUCGAAAGUGUGGGUAUCAAACAGGAUUAGAUACCCGGGUAGUC
rnacentral:rRNA from 1 species